rnacentral:lncRNA from 10 species
UGAAAUUUCAACCUGCCCAACACGAUUACUGGUCCACCUAGAAAUGCCGUGGAGCGAUUUAAGAGCCUCGGAAAUUUCCUUUAAGGGCAUUCAAGCAGCCCUGAGGAGAGGUCCACAUGGUGAGCCACUGAGGGCCUUGCCAAGAGCCAGCACCAACGGUCCAGGUUUGGAGUGUACCACCUUGGAAGUGAAUCUUCCAGUCCAGUCAAGCCUUCAGAUGACUUCAGAACCGUCCAUGUAAGCCACUCUUGGAUUCCUGACCCACAGAAACUGUUGGAGUAAGUGAUGUUUCUGAAGCACCAAUGAAAAUGAAGUCCUGAAGUCCUGUGCUCAAUAUGAAAUGUUGGAAGUUAGAAGAAAAAAACAAAACUUGGAUCCAAUCUCAAGGCACUUUUUGUUUAAUGGGAAGAAGUGGAUUAUUUUAAAAGCUACAAAUAAAGUUACAUAAAAGUAGCAAA